rnacentral:tRNA from 1 species
GUCGGGAUAGCUCAGCUGUAGAGCAGAGACUG